rnacentral:rRNA from 1 species
AGCGAACGCUGGCGGCAGGCUUAACACAUGCAAGUCGAGCGCCCCGCAAGGGGAGCGGCAGACGGGAGAGUAACACGUGGGAACGUACCUUUCAGUUCGGGACAACCAAGGGAAACUUUGGAUAAUACCGGAUACGCCCGUAAGGGGAAAGAUUCAUCGCUGAAAGAUCGGCCCGCGUCUGAUUAGCUAGGUGGUGAGGUAACGGCUCACCAAGGCGACGAUCAGUAGCUGGUCUGAGAGGAUGAUCAGCCUCACUGGGACUGAGACACGGCCCAGACUCCUACGGGAGGCAGCAGUGGGGAAUAUUGGACAAUGGGCGCAAGCCUGAUCCAGCCAUGCCGCGUGGAUGAUGAAGGCCUUAGGGUUGUAAAGUCCUUUUAACGGGGAAGAUAAUGACGGUACCCGUAGAAUAAGCCCCGGCUAACUUCGUGCCAGCCGCCGCGGUAACAC